UGAGGAAUAUUGGUCAAUGGGCGAGAGCCUGAACCAGCCAAGUCGCGUGAAGGAUGAAGGUGCUAUGCAUUGUAAACUUCUUUUGUAAGGGAAUAAAAAAGAUUACGUGUAGUCUAUUGUAUGUACUUUACGAAUAAGGAUCGGCUAACUCCGUGCCAGCAGCCGCGGUAAUACGGAGGAUCCGAGCGUUAUCCGGAUUUAUUGGGUUUAAAGGGUGCGUAGGCGGGAUGAUAAGUCAGUGGUGAAAGUUUGCCGCUCAACGGUAAAAUUGCCAUUGAAACUGUCAUUCUUGAGUGCAAAUGAGGUAGGCGGAAUGUGUUGUGUAGCGGUGAAAUGCUUAGAUAUAACACAGAACUCCGAUUGCGAAGGCAGCUUACUGGGAUGCAACUGACGCUGAGGC
rnacentral:rRNA from 1 species